rnacentral:rRNA from 1 species
UACGUAGGUGGCAAGCGUUGUCCGGAUUUACUGGGCGUAAAGCGCGCGCAGGCGGGCUGGUCAGUCCGGGGUGAAAUCUCACGGCUCAACCGUGAGCGGUCCCCGGAUACUGCCAGUCUUGAGGUGUCUAGAGGAGAGCGGAAUUCCCGGUGUAGUGGUGGAAUGCGUAGAUAUCAGGAGGAACACCGGUGGCGAAGGCGGGUCUCUGGGCCGAUACUGACGCUGAGGAGCGAAAGCGUGGGGAGCGAACAGG